ACCUGGGAGACUGCUGGUAAAGAUGGGAGGUGGCCUUUGCCGCUUUCCAUCUUCUCACUGCAGUUUCUUCACGUGGGCCACUUGUACUUAAAAUGUCUUCUUAAUUUAUUCUUUUUACUUCCCCAGCUCCAAUUUGUCUACAGAUUUACAAAUUUGUUUUAUAGUUUUAUGACUCAAUUUGUAUUUUCGGUCCUAUGAAGCUUUUUGCCUUAAAUAUUUUUCUCUGUUUAUAAGAAUGUGCUGUUUCCUAGGCCAGUUUUGUACACACUCUUCCAUAGAAUAGAUCCAGAAGAAACACAACAAUACUGCCUUCAUCAUAUCAGGAGAUCUUGAUACCAAAUACGAGUGUUGCCUCCAAGAUGCAAGAUCCUGAGGGCUCCAAAGAAUCCACUGUCCGUCACAAAUCGACGGUCCGCCAGCUCAGUUUCAGAGACGUGGUGCUCCGCUGCAGGCCUCAUCCUCAGGUGCACCCUGGCAGUCAGCCAUCUGAAGGUACUAUGGAAAUUCAGUUACUCACUCUUGGGAGCAGAAGGAUUCCAGACCAUUCCUGUGUGCACCCUGGCAGGGAGCCAUCUGAAGGGACCACCUGGAGGGGAGCGGACCAGAGAGACUUCCUCGGAAUAGGCUGUGGCUCUUCACAAGGUGUCUUCUAUGCUUUAUUUGGGAGCCAUUGCCUUGAGCGUUAUUUCCCAGAUGGUUUUCUAAUGUCACCAACUGAAGAAAAGACCCAUGCACACAGGACACAGCAUGAUCUGAUGCUCACAGCGUUUUCCUUCCUCUCUGAAAACGGACUCAGCGAUUCUGGCAAGCGGUACUUACUCUGAGAUCACCCGUUUGCUAAGGAAAAAUCUUAGUACUGAGAAAGGUGACACUUUCCUCCCUGCUUUUGCUGGAGAGACACUUUGGUUAUGAGUUAUUUCUAGCAUAACACAGUUUAUUUCAGAAGUCCAGCUCAAUAGCAGACCAAGGCAUGAACAACACAUGAAAAUUUAUGUUGGGAAAAUAUAUAUUGUAUGUCUGCUUGAACUGUGGGUUCUUGAUUAAUACAAAACUGGUUGAUGAAGGUUGUUACCUUCAGGAAAAUGCAAAUCUAGUGGAGGGACAAAACUCACAGUAACAGUAUUUCAUCAUAGCCACCAUGAGGCAGUACAUUAUGAAGCAUGUCAGUGAUGAAUUACUGGCAGGCUGGUCUGUCAUUGAAGCUACACUCUGUUUCUAGCUUCUGUUGCUUCUGCUGUCUCUCUCCUAACAUCUGCAUAUUCCUCCACUUUGUGGUGGAGGAAGCAUUAGGGCUGAUAUAGGGGAUUUCCAGUGAGUGUAUAAUUCAGUGCAGAAUUGGCAGGAAUAUAUUCCAUGGUUAGGAGCUGGAGAAAGUAAGAAAUAAAAAUAGACCUUGAAGAAUGGGUAGGAUUUUCAAAAUCAGAGAUAAAGACGCAAGAAAGAGAAUUCAGUUUUUCAAGUUUCUAAGCAAUCAUAUUUACAUGCAUAGACAUUUUGCUGGUUUCUGUCUUACUAAUGUAUACUACACUGUGUCUAAUCACUCUGAGGGCUGGUAUUUCGGGUCUGUUCCAGACACUCAGGAAUCAUUUGUUCAGCUUGUUCUAUAUGCUGGAAACUGUUGCAGGGAUGGAUAUAUGCAGUCCUUGUCCCAAAGCAGCUUAUGACUCCAAGAGCAAGGGAUAGAAUAUGAACAUGUGUCUUUGGGUUACUUCUAGGGGUAAGAAUGAGUUCUGUGGGCAGAUGCAUACAGGAAGUGGGGAGAGGGAGAAUGAGAUACAAACUAUCCAGGCAGGAGGCAUUGCAGUAAUCAAAGUGAACUAUGAGAGAAGCCUGGGGUGUUGUAAAAAGAAAGAAACUUUGUCAUAAGUGGAAUGAUCAGACAAGUCUUAGAAGGCUGUAUUGCAGCCACAGUUCUGACUGGCUACCAAUCAGAAGAAGAGGGAAAUGAGAACUCUUCUUGGCUUGAGUACCUGAGUAAAGGAUCUAACCAUUCCCAGACAGGCGGCCCACAAGAGAGAAGCAGGUUAGAAGGAAAUACCACGAGUUGUGUUUUGGUCAUGUUAGGUAGAGGACAUUUGAAUGCAGAGUAAGUCAAACUCUUAGGGCAGGGGAGUCAAGAAUGCUCCAUUGCAGUGGUGUCAGCAAAAUGGCAGGGAAGGCAGCUCUAAGCUCCCAUCCUUCCAUAGGAAUGUUGAAUAAACAACCAGACACUGUCAGAACCAACUUUGUGAGAACCGGGAAAAUAAUCAAAGGUGUACGGCAACUAAAAGAAUGCUGGAUCAACACAAAGGAAACUUAAAAAUGAUAUGAAAGCUGUGUGGCAUUUUUGCUUGUCCCACAAGUCCAGCUUGGUGAUAGUCUUGAAGACGGCAGGCUGGAUUCCCCAGGCUGGGACCCUUAUCCCUGGUUCCAGAGAGGAGAGCAGAUCUGAUUCACAAAUGAUUAUGCUUGUCUGUUUUAAUCUUUCCAGAGGCUGUCUGAAGAAGGUAUUCAUCAUCUCUGUUUUACCUGACCCAGAAACCAUUCUGCUAGGAAAAACAGUGGGCAUUGCUUGAAAACAGUGUUCUGUGGUUGAAAAACCCACAGUCACCUUGGGCUGGUGGGAAUGUAAAAUGGCGCCUCUUCUGGAUCAUCGUUUGGCAGUUUCUCAAAAGGUCAAACGUAGAAUCACUAUUUGAUCCAACAAUUCUACUCCUAGGUAUAUCCCCAAAAGAAUUGAAAACAAGGAUGCAAACAUAUGCGUGUACACUAAUGUUUAUAGAAAAAAUAUUCACAAUAAUCAAAAGGCAGAAACAACCCAAGUGUCCAAUAACAGAAGAAUGAAUAAA
ensembl:lncRNA LINC01120 long intergenic non-protein coding RNA 1120